GCAGGUAACUCCUNCAUGUAUGUCCCUUCUACUGCCACACUUGGUCCAAGAGGCUGACAUUCCCUGAUCCAAGAGGCUGCUCUUCAGUCAGGGUUUGUGAAAAGCUGUGCUUUCCUUCUAGAACCUCCAAGCAAGCUCUAGGGGCCCAUCUGUGGGACAACUUAGGGUAGUCAAGCUUCNAGGGACUGAGCACCAUGAAUAGCAAUCUGUGUUUU
rnacentral:snRNA from 1 species